UACGGGGGGGGCAAGCGUUGUUCGGAAUUACUGGGCGUAAAGGGCUCGUAGGUGGCCAACUAAGUCAGACGUGAAAUCCCUCGGCUUAACUGAGGAAGUGCACCCGAAACUGAGUAGCUAGAGUACGAAAGAGGGUCGCGGAAUUCCCGGUGUAGAGGUGAAAUUCGUAGAUAUCGGGAGGAACACCGGUGGCGAAGGCGGCGACCUGGGUCGAGACUGACGCUGAGGCGCGAAAGCGUGGGGAGCGAACAGG
rnacentral:rRNA from 1 species